UGGGGAAUUUUGGACAAUGGGCGAAAGCCUGAUCCAGCAAUGCCGCGUGUGUGAAGAAGGCCUUCGGGUUGUAAAGCACUUUUGUCCGGAAAGAAAUCCUUGGCUCUAAUACAGUCGGGGGAUGACGGUACCGGAAGAAUAAGCACCGGCUAACUACGUGCCAGCAGCCGCGGUAAUACGUAGGGUGCAAGCGUUAAUCGGAAUUACUGGGCGUAAAGCGUGCNCAGGGCGGUUUGCUAAGACCGAUGUGAAAUCCCCGGGCUCAACCUGGGAACUGCAUUGGUGACUGGCAGGCUAGAGUAUGGCAGAGGGGGGUAGAAUUCCACGUGUGAGCAGUGAAAGUGCGUAGAGAUGUGGAGGAAUACCGAUGGCGAAGGCAGCCCCUGGGCCAAGUACUGACGCUCAUGCACGAAAGCGU
rnacentral:rRNA from 1 species